AAGUAUAUUAUAGAACAAAUUUAAUAUUAUCAUAUUUUUCAGUAUUAAAUCAUCAGCUGCAGAUUAUUAUUGGUGUGCAUGUUAUGUGUACACACUCAGUUCAUUAGGUACAUCUAGCUACAGCUAAUAUAGUUUAAUACAACAGCCCUGCAAUGAAUCCUGAUCCUCAUGAAGGUUUUAAUGUUCACAUUUUCACCUGUCAUAUAGGUGUACCUAUUGUAAUAAACUGACUAAGUGUAUAUGAAGGCACAGAAAAUUAAUUAGUGUAAUAUGCAUACAAAACACAUGCACAUACUUGUAUGUGCACACAAAUAUAUAUAUACAGUAAUUACAGGUCCCAUAUGACUUGGAUAAUUCAUUUAUUGUUUUGAGUUUCAGGUAAUGUUCAAGAGUGAUGGAAACACAUUUUAGUCUCACAGUAGGUGUUGAGCUUUGCACAUGAAAAACAUAUGGACAUAGACUU